GAUGAACGCUGGCGGCGUGCUUAACACAUGCAAGUCGAACGGUAAGGCCCUUCGGGGUAAACGAGUGGCGAACGGGUGAGUAACACGUGGGUGAUCUGUCCUGCACUUCGGGAUAAGCCUGGGAAACUGGGUCUAAUACCGGAUAGGACCACUGCCUGCAUGGGUGGUGGUGGAAAGCUUUUGCGGUGUGGGAUGGGCCCGCGGCCUAUCAGCUUGUUGGUGGGGUGAUGGCCUACCAAGGCGACGACGGGUAGCCGGCCUGAGAGGGUGACCGGCCACACUGGGACUGAGAUACAGCCCAGACUCCUACGGGAGGCAGCAGUGGGGAAUAUUGCUCAAUGGGCGCAAGCCUGAUGCAGCGACGCCGCGUGAGGGAUGACGGCCUUCGGGUUGUAAGCCUCUUUCAGCACCGACGAAGCGCAAGUGACGGUAGGUGCAGAAGAAGGACCGGCCAACUACGUGCCAGCCGCCGCAGUAA
rnacentral:rRNA from 1 species